GUCACCGCCUGGCCGGGGACAGAGAGGAGCCAGCGAGCCCCACAUUACGAGUCCCCGAAAACACUCCCACAGUUGCAAUAAAAGAACAUCUGCAGCAGAGCCAUCCCGUCGCGUAGCCAGCAAAAGUGCCGCCAACAACCUUCACAUGGGGCUUCCUGCACAAGGCCAGCUAAACAGCGCCUCCCCUCGGGGAUCAAGGGACCGGGGCAGCAGGGGAACACAUCCGGGAGGUCAUCAGCACCCACAUCCUCACCAGGCGGAUUACAACAGCAACGACCAGUCCUCCGCAAGGGCAUCCGGACAUAGCACCAACAGACAGUCGGCCAACCCAAAUCCAAGAAACAACUCCGCGACACGUCCAGCUCAGUCGCGACUACCCGCCGAGCCCAAAACAUCGGGUGCA